CCAGUCGGUCGGACAGCCGCUGCCGCAAGUGCCGAAAGGCCGCGGGGGAGGAAAGUCCGGGCUCCAUGGAAACACGGUGCCGGGUAACGCCCGGCGAGGGCGACCUUAGGGAAAGUGCCACAGAAAGCAAACCGCCCCGGACAGAUCGAGAGAUUUUCCCGGGGUAAGGGUGAAAGGGUGGGGUAAGAGCCCACCGCGCAACUGGCAACAGCGGCGGCAUGGUAAACCCCACCGGGAGCAAAACCGAAUAGGGACAGCGCGAACCGGAGCGAUCCGGUUCAGGCCGGUUUCCAGGCCAGUUGUCCGGGUUGGUUGCGAUAGGCGUCUGGCAACAGACGUCACAGAUGAAUGGCUGUCACGUCCGCUUCAGGUCUCGUAUCUGGCCGGGCCAUACAGAACCCGGCUUACAGGCCGGCUGGCUCU
rfam:Labrenzia sp. C1B10 contig3, whole genome shotgun sequence.